ACGCUCGACACCUACGGGAGGUAGCAGUAGGGAAUCUUCCACAAUGGGCGCAAGCCUGAUGGAGCAACACCGCGUGAGUGAAGAAGGGUUUCGGCUCGUAAAGCUCUGUUGUUGGAGAAGAACGUGCGUGAGAGUAACUGUUCACGCAGUGACGGUAUCCAACCAGAAAGUCACGGCUAACUACGUGCCAGUAGCCGCGGUAAGUCUGAGCGGGCGUGGCGAAGGCG
rnacentral:rRNA from 1 species